rnacentral:rRNA from 1 species
AACGAACGCUGGCGGCAGGCCUAACACAUGCAAGUCGAGCGCGCCCUUCGGGGUGAGCGGCGGACGGGUGAGUAACGCGUGGGAACGUGCCCUUCUCUGCGGAAUAGCCUCGGGAAACUGAGAUUAAUACCGCAUACGCCCUUUGGGGGAAAGAUUUAUCGGGGAAGGAUCGGCCCGCGUUGGAUUAGGUAGUUGGUGGGGUAAUGGCCCGCCAAGCCGACGAUCCAUAGCUGGUUGGAGAGGAUGAUCAGCCACACUGGGACUGAGACACGGCCCAGACUCCUACGGGAGGGAGCAGUGGGGAAUCUUAGACAAUGGGGGCAACCCUGAUCUAGCCAUGCCGCGUGAGUGAUGAAGGCCUUAGGGUUGUAAAGCUCUUUCAGCUGGGAAGAUAAUGACGGUACCAGCAGAAGAAGCCCCGGCUAACUCCGUG